GGGCUCCCCGUACACCUGCCAUUGCUCCAACGAGUCAUGUGGGAUGCCCAUUUUCAGCCAGAGUGGACGAAUCACGAUUCAUUCCAAUGGUGGUGCAGUUAAAUGAGGUCCUCAAUAUUUGUUUUCCUUCAAAGAGGAUUUGGAGCUUGUCGCUUUCCAACUAGAAGGUUAACAUUCUGAUUUCACAUUAGAAGGUCACAUUCCAGUUACCAGAAAAGGAAGGAGAACAGCAUGAAGGAAAGGUCUGCAGAGACAACUGUCACCUUAGGAGACUUCGAAGGGAUUGGGGAAAAUAAAUGCCCUCAUCUCACUCUCCUGCCUUUCCCUGACCAUCUGCUGGGAUUUUCAGUGGCCAAUAGGAAGGAGAGGAAAAUCCCUGUUGAUGUGGCAAGAAGUCAGCAUCCUGGAGUGAGACAAGGUGAAGAAGGGCAGAACCAAUAUGGAAUGCCAAACUGGAGAUCCCCAGCACAGCUGCUUCCCAAAACAGUUUUUAAAAAAUGAAAAACAAGACAUUCUGUUGGUAAAAAUAUGAAGACUUCUGUUUACAUUCUUUGCUUAAAUGUAUGUGUUUCUAGCUUAAAAAAAGAGUGUCUGUGAAUCAUUUUUAUGAAGUGAAAAUUAUGAGAAUUGAACUUGUUAAUCUAAAAAUUCUCUCUCCUUUUAAAAGUACAGUCUUAUAUUUAGAAAGAAAUUUAACUAAUGGGGUGAUAAGGGCAGGCCGCAAGCCAAGAAAGUGAUAAAAGGAUUAACUAAUCCAGGGCAAAAAGGUCUUUAUUUUUUAAAGAGUCAGCAUUAAAUCUUCCAAUAGCAAAAGUUCAGAUUUAAAAAGGUGGGAGGCUGAUGCACAUCCUACACAUGUACCCCGGAACUUAAUAAUAAUAAUGAUGAUAAUAAUAAUAAUAAAUAAUUACUAAACAAUUUUUAAAAAGAAAAGAAAGUUGCGAGGGAUGAAUGUCUUCCCCAGUCCCCUAUCCAUUAGUUAAAGAAUAAUUUAUAAAUCUCUUUGUUUUCUAAAACACUUUCUUUCUAAUUUUAAAGAUAAAUGUUAAAUUCAAUUUACAUUUUAAAAUGUGUUUAAAAAGCAUACAUUGUAUAACAAAACUGAAAACUUUAUUAUUUUACCUUAAUUGCUUUAGAAGAAUAUUUUGUUUUUCUUCGUGGAAAUGAAAAGUUACUAGUAAUACAAAUUUGGAAAUUUGGGACAUAUCAAAUCUGCAAGUAUUUGCAUUUCUUAACUAAAUGUAGACAAAAUCUUAAAUAAAUGAAAGAGGAAUUUAGAAUUGUCAUUGAAAGGCUUUAGGGUUUAAGUUAAAAUUUUGUAAAUUAACACAACUCUAAAAAUUUGCAUUUAUAAUCGAAUUUAUAGAAUCUAUAAAAUAAUAUUACAUUUAGUAUUUAUGUAUACCUUGUAAACAUUUUCUAAAAUUGUUCAGUUAGUUUUUGGAAGUCAAAAUUUGUCAUAGAAAUAGAUUUAUAAUUUCCAAUAGCCUCUAAAAUUUUGGAUUUCACAAGAGGGAUUCAUGUCGUUAAAAUGAGAAUGCUUAAAAAACAGACCUGUGAAGUAAAGUUGGAUUUGUCACGUUAGUCAAAAGGAGAUUUUUGACCAAACCUCUACAGCAUAUAUUUGCAUAUACUGUUCUGGGCUAAUCAUGAGAAAUUCCUAGAGAGGGAUCAUCUCCUGAAUUUCCCUUCAGGAAAUCUGAAGAUUUUGACUGCUAUUGCAUCCAAACAAGACCACCUGAGAGAACCAUUUGGAGUGAUACAUAGCAACCAUUGGUACAAUAUAAAUACUGUAACAUGAUAAUGAAUAGUAUAACACAUUAAAUGUGAAAGAAUUUUUUUUUUGAGACAGUGUCUUGUUCUCCUCCCACUUCAGCCUCCCAAGUAGCUGGGACUAUAAGUAUAUGCCACCACACCCGGCUAAUUUUUGUAUUUUUUGUAGAGGCGAGGUCUCACUAUGUUGUCCAGACUUGUCUCAAAUUCAUGAGUGCAAGUGAUCGGCCCACCUCACCCUCCCAAAGUGCUGGGAUUACAGGUGUGUGCCACUAUGUCCGGCCGAAAAAGAUAUUUCACAUCAUAAUAUAAGAACAAGUUUGUGGUAAUUCCAUAUCUCCAAGCUGAAACAUGCUCUGGUGCCACAAAGCAGAGUAUGUGUCCAAGGUUAAUGGAAUCAUAUCAAAAGUGCACGCAAAGGAAAUCCCAUUCAAUGAGCUGUUGACAGUUGGAGCAUCCAAAGAUGAAUAAAGACUUUAGUUAAUUGAAAAAUAUCCAAUCCAUAAAGAAUUGAGUUCAUAAUGAUACUUCAAACAAAGAAAAGAUAAUUUAAAGGUAUUUUAAAUUAUAAAAUGUAUAGUUGUUGAGUCUUUUACUUCUUCAUAUAGCUUAAAAAUAUUAUAAUAACAAAAUAUUGUGAGAGAACAGAAAAAACAUGUGGAAGACUUUUCAUCUGUAUAAAUGUAUGUGUUUAAAUGCCUAAAUUAUAUAAAGCAAAAAUAAUUUGGCCUUUUAAAGUAAUAGCAUUGUUACUCUAAUAUAAUAGCUGAAUUGAGUAACUGAUUUAUUUAGACUUAGGAAAUCAUGAUGAAAGUUCUCAAUUUAUAAAGAGUGUUGCAGCAUCUAAGAGAACUGAGGUUUACUGCAUCUGUAUGAAUAAUUUAUUCAAUUCUAAAAAUUAUUUAGUAUCUAGGAAAAACUUGUUUAAAAAUCAGAGAAUUGAAGUACUUUAAAAGGAAACAGAAUUUUUAAAAUAUAGAUUAAUGUAUGUAAAGAUAGUUAAUUAAGUUUGUGAAUGAGAUCAAAGAUACCUUAAAAGUGAUAGAUGUUUAGUAGACAUAUAUUGAAUGAUAACUUGUGCAAGGGAAAUGAAAAUCAUCAAAGAGAACAUCGAGAUUUUCACCAUUCUAUGCCACUUUUCCUCAUCAAGGGAAAGGGCUGACCAAGUCCACGAAAAAAGACUGGAAACCCCAGAGCCGGCUCUAAAGAACCCACAGCAACCUUGGGACCAGAGUGUGAUGUGGAACCCCUGGUGGAUCUUCCUCCCCAUCACUUUUCAUGACCUGCUCCCUCAACUCUUUUCCUGAGGUGGUUGAUGACAAAAAUCAAUAGACUCAUGAUUACAUAGGUGUAAACUUGUGGCUAUAUCACCACAAAAUGAAGAAAAUAAGAGAAAAAGUUUCUUUUCAAUUAUAAAGAUAUCUACAAGUCAUGUAGAGCCACUUAGAGAAAAAGCAAAGUUAAGUUCUUUACAAAAUCUUUUUCUGAGCAGAACUGAGAAGCCUGCCAUGUGUACCUUAUCAGCAUCCCCACUUGUAAAUACUAAGUGUAAUUACUAAGUGUAAUACUUGCUCACUUGUAAAUACUAAGUGUAUUGGUCCAUUCUCAUACUGCUAAUAAAAACAUACCUGAGACUGGGUAAUUUAUAAUGGAGACAGGUUUGAUUGACUCACUGUUCCACAUGGCUGGGAGGCCUCAGGAAACUGACAAUCACGGUGGAAAGCACCUCUUCACCUGCCAGCAGGGGACAGAAUGAGUACCCAGCAAAGGAGAAAACCCUGUAAAACCAUCAGAUCUUAUGAGAACUCACUCGCUAUCAUGAGAACAACAUGGGGGAAACCACCCCCAUGAUUCAGUUAUCUCCACCUAGUCCCCCUGGACACAUGGGGAUUAUCACAAUUCAAGGUGAGACCUGGGUGGGGACACAGAGUGAAACCAUAUCACUUAAAGGAUAUUAAGAAACAGGAGGAUGAUGUUCGCUUUGAUACGGGCUGGAGAACAUUCCCUCCAUUUCCUUUCCAGUGUGUCAUUCAAAGUAAACAACAGUCUUAAGUGCACUUAUGAACCUAGAUGGAAAAAAAACUAGUAAUCAAAUCCAACAGUGUGAAAAAAAAAAUAGAAAAAACACCAAUGCAGAGAUGGCUCAAAAUCUUAAAAUCCAUUUAUAUAAUAUACAAGAGUAUCAGUUUAAAAGUUAAAUAAAUAAAUAAAUAAAUAAAUAAAGUAUAAAUAAUGCAAAGGGAGAAAUAAUAUCAAGUGCAUUUAAUCCAAAUUAUUUAUUAUUUUUGUUGCUGUAUUGUCCAGUUUCAAUAUCAAGAUUCUACCAGUUUGCUUUUGUUGUUUGAUAAACCUAGGUGUCUGUAAAUGCUUCAUUUGACUAAAAGAAUGUGGAGAGGUGUGUUCUGAUGCCUUCCAGAGGCUUCACAUCUUCUUUUCUAUUCAAUAAAGUAGAAUUUUAAGAAGAAUAAAAUAAAAUAAAAUAAAAUAAAAUAAAAUAAAAUAAAAUAAAAUAAAAUAAAAGCAAAGUAAACAACAGUCUCAUAUUAAUUCUCAAUCCAUAGUACUUUUUUUCUCUUAACAAGAGUUUGCAGUCACUCUGUGCAUCUCUGACACUGUAUUCAGACAGGACCAUAAAUUCCAAAAUGUGCUCUGUCACCUAGAAGCUCUAUGUCAACUAGAACAUUUGUUUAUUUCUCUAAAUAAUGUUUCUUAUCUAAUAAGUGCUGCUAAUAUUAGUUACAGUUUCAUAAAGUCAACAGAGAUAAUACGUGAGAAGCAUUUGAAUACUGUAUGAAUAUAAUAAGCUGUUGACUAUAAAACUAUUAAUAAGUUUUAUUAGAAUUAUUGCAAUAUAUUGUGUUUUUUUAAACUUGCUGCCUCCUCACUGAUAGUUAAGAUCACUAUGGGAUGGAAUAGUCUGUUUUUAUUUCUGAAAGUCCAAUAUUAAUACGGAGUACUUAAUACUAUGUAUAAGUGAAUAAAUUCUUAAAUUAAUUAAAUAAUUAGCUGGUAUAAUUAUCCUCCAAAUACCUUCUAGUUACGGAAUUAUAUACUCCAAUAGUAAGAGGAAUACUUUAACUUGGAUGAAGAGAUCAUUGCAGUCAAAAAUCUCAGAACACUUUAAAUCCAAAGUAGCUUGUAGUUUUAAGCCUUUCUAAAUAGAAAAUAUUCAAGAUAAUUUAAUUCUAGCUUUAAAAUAGAAUCAGCUGUAUUAAAUUUAGGAAAACAAAAUUGUUUUGUGAUUGAGAUAAUUUAUGUGGAAAAAAAACAAACCGGAAUAAAGAUGUAAGACAUUAUCCCAUUAUCCAUAUCUAUCUCUCUCUCUACCUACCUACUUACCUACCUAUCUAGUGUGCUCUAAACAAUAAAUAUAAGGAUGCUAUAAAAAUCAAAUGUUUCUUAUUAGUUUUAAAAACAAUUUGAUAAGUUUAAAAGUAUAUACACAGAGAGAGAUAGAGAAAGAAAAAGAAAGGAUAUAGAUGGUAGAGAUACAGAUGCAGAUGGACACAGGGACAGGAAUAAAGAUAUAGAUUUUGAAGAAUGCUUAAGUGAAACAAUGGUCUUCAGCUGAUAAGUAUGUCAUCAUCCAGGUGGUGGGGAUUCCACUUGGGAGAUGCUAUAAUCAUGAGGAACAAUGUCUCAUGUCAGUGUGUGUACAGCAACUCAAACUUACCUUAGGCUGAAACAGAAAUCUGCAAAGCAGUGGUUAAGGUAAAUGAAUUGAAUCUGGAUUUGGGUGGUUCACGGAUUUAGUUUCAUUGCUGAGGGAUCUCAGAGCCAUGGCAUUUUGAUUUUUCUCGCCUUUCCUCAUAGCUGCUGUGUGGCCACAAAAUCACUGCUUUUCCUGUCACAUCAAAUAUUCAUUUUAGCCAUGAAGAAGAGGCAGAUUGAAGGCCAGAAAAAUAAAAACACCAGACAAAACAAAAAGCAUGAGUCUUGAGGUGCUCACUUUUGAGGAGCAUUCCUAAAAAUCCCACCCAGCAAGUUCCACUUACCACAGCCUUGGAGCCAGCCAAAGCUGGAAAUGCCAUUGGGAAAUGUAGCUUUUUUAGCUGUCUGGAUUUUCACUUCCAACAAAAUCCCGGUACUGUUAGCAAGGAAAAGGUGGUGAAUGGAUAUUGGAUCAGCAUUUUGCAAUCUCUGCAACCAUUCUUUUUCUUUGACAUUGUUAUGUUUUACUGAAUUAUUUACCAAAAUGUCAAAUAAAAUAUAUCUAUUAUUUAAAUACCAACCUUGGUAAGGUCACCAACUUUUUCAAAAUUAAUAAACUUUUUUAGACUAGCUUUAGGUUUAGCAUAAAAUUGAACAUAAAGUAUAGAGUUCCCAAACACCACUCCCCACCCCACUCACAAACAUAGCCUCCCCCACUAUCAACACCUCUCAUUAGUUUGGUGCAUUUGUUAACCAUCAAUGAGCCAAUAUAUAGGGAUGUCAUUAUCGGCCAGAGUUUAUAGUUUUCUUGAACUUUCAUUCUGUGUUGUACAUUCUAUGGGUUUUGACAGAAGUGUAAUUAUGUGUGUCGACUAUUGUACUGUGAAACAGAAUGGUUUCAAUGCCCUAAAAAUCCCCUGUGUUCCACCUAUUCAUCCCUCACUUUCCCAAAACCUCUGGCAUCCACCGAACUUUUCACUGCCUCUGUAGCUUUGCUUUUUCCGGAAUGUAAUAUACUCAGAGUCAUAUGGUUAUGUAGUCUUUUCGUAUUGACAUCUUCACUUAGUACUAUGCAUUUACGGUUCCUGUGUGUUUCUGUGACUUGAUAGCUUAUUUCUUUUUAGUCUUGAACAAUGUUCUAUUGUACAGAAGUACCACAGUUUAUUUGUUCACCUGCUGAAGGGCAUUUUAAUUGCUUCCAGGUUUUGACAAUUAUGAAUAAAGCUGAU
rnacentral:lncRNA from 10 species